GGCGCUAUGGUGUAGUGGCAGCACAUGGGAUUCUGAUGUCCAUCAAUCCUUCCCAUAACCCAGGUUCGAACCCUGGUAGUGCCU